UUUUAGGAACUUUUAACAUCAAAAUGACAGAUGCAUGCUUCUCAAGAAUGGCAGUGAUAUAAACGCGGAAUAGUCCUAUGUAACUGCUGGUUCCAGACUUUGCAAGAAAUGGGGCUUGUUCUAAGGACCGCACUAAACAUAGCACUUUCACCAUUGCAGAUUCGCCAGUAUCAUGGUGGCAAUUGGCAAGGGAUAAAAUCCCAUCUCCAGUGGGCCUUUGGAUAAUUGGAUUGUUUGCGGCUAUCACGACCGUUGCGCUCAAGCCAGUGAAGACCUCAAGCCUUCUUCCUCUUGGGCAGUCGGAGGGUCAAGUUGAAGCAGCUAAUUGAAGGGUGUGUGUACCAAAGAAAAGAAAUCGUCUGCUAUUUCCCAAAAUCGUUCAUGCUUCCGCUCCACAGGGUUGCAAGGCUCUUGUUGUUACUUCGUCUAGUGACUGGAAUCCUUUAUUGUGAAGUACCCGCUCCAAUAGAGGCGAUCCGGGCCAUGUCGCCAUGCUGCUACAUGGUGGAGAUGAGCGCCAACCAGAGGAAGUAACUUCCUGCAGCAGCCCUCCCACC